AAAGGUACUUAGACAUGUUCCCCAUAGGAUGUGUUAAGGUGUUGGCCAAUCAUCAAAUAUUGUCACUCCAAAGAACACAUUUAACAGCCGGGAAGAAAAUUGUAGGAAAAGAGAGCACUUUGGCACGGAAGGAGUCUAUCGCCCUGGUUGGAGUGCAGCAGUGUAAUCAUAGCUCACUGCUGCCAUGAACUUCUGGGCUUAAGCGAUCCUCCCACCUCAGCCUCCCUGUGUGCUGAGAUUAAAAGUGUGAGCCACCAUGCCUCAUCGUAAGGGUCUUCAAAGAAACCCUAUUUCAUACUUUCUUGAUGCACUUGAUAUGGAUUAUAUAAAUCUAUGGACAAAAAUGACAUCAGUACAAUGGUGAUAUUGGAGUUUUCUACCAUAAUCUCUGCAUAGUGCACUGAUUUUGACAAUCACCUAUGGAUGACAAUACAUUUGCCAGAGUCUAGGAGUUAAAUGGAAAAGUUAACAGCACACCAUUGGAGAAAAAUAUCUGGGAGUAGAUGCAUUCAAGGGAGUAAGAAGAACAAUUACCUGCAUCACCUCACCCCCAGGGUCCACUUCUUAGUGCCAAGAUAGACUCCCUUCAGCAGGCAAUUUCUCCCAUAGGGAAAAGGAGAGUAUAAUGAGUGAGUACCCAGCUUUUCCAGCUGUGUGAGGCACAUCCCAAGAAGCCCAUCUUUCUUUCACUCAACUCAGAAUAUUGAGGGUAUUAGCAUGGCUAAGUGGCUGGGACAGGGUACUAGCAGGAAAGAAAGGAGAGGACUCACAGCAACCAGGACUGGAAACUCAGUACAGGGUACGUAUCCUUUGAAGCAUUUCACAGAGCCCAUCAGGAGGCCCACCCAUGAACCACUUGGGACACCAUAUCUGUAGCAUCUCCCUGCAACUGGCCCAUAGGAGCCCCCGAUGUUUUGUGCAUAUUCCCCUUCCCUUUCUCCUGUAGUCAAUUGCCUGCACAUGCACUCCAGAUGGUGAGUGUGAGCAUUUACCUACAGCUUUUGAGUACAUGCAGUCAGCAGGCUCAACUUUGAAGGAUUGGGAGGCAUACAAAAUUGAGCAUUUCAGGGCACUGUCCCAGAGGAAACAAACAGAAAGCUUUCAGGACCCAGUUUGGUUUUGUGGAUUUAAGAGAAGACACAUAAUCAUCAGAAUUUCUUCUCCACCCAUCCAAGAAGUGUGGAUUGGGUGAAUCCAUAGAAAAGACCUGAGAGAGCCUCAGAUUCCCUAUAGGCUCACUGUUGAAGAUAUUUCUCUCAAAUCCAGUCAGUAAAGACUAGAGAAAGUGACUCUUUCUUCAAAUGUGAAGACAGCAGUGCAAGACUUUGAGGAACAUGAAAAAUCAAGGACCCCUAGUACCACCAAAGGAACAUAAUUUUCUGGUACCCAACCACAAAGAAAUGGAGAUACACAAAUUGUCUGACAAAGAAUUCAAAACAAUUGUUUUAAGGAAGUCAGUAAGCUACAAGAGAACACAGAUAGAGAACUUAAUGAUAUUAAGAAAGCGACACAUGAACAAAAUAAGAAGUUCAACAAAGAGAUAGAAAUCAUUAAAAACAACAACCAUGAUUUUUGAGCUGAGAAUACAGUGAAUGAAAUGGAAAACACAAUAGAGUUUCAAUAGCAGACUUGAUCAAGCAGAAGAAAGGGUCUGUCAACUCAAAUACUAGUCAUUUGAAAUUAUUCAGUAAAAGGAAUGAAAAAUGCUUAAGCGAUUGAUGCAACACCAUGAAGAGUAGUCAUAUAUGCAAUAUGGGAGUCUCAGAAAAAGAAAGAGAUAAAGGGGAAGAAAACUAACUUAAAGAACUAGAUCAGUCUCUCCUUAUCUGUAGUUUUGCUUUCCUUGGUUUCAGGUACAUUACAAUGAUAUGUUUUAAGAGACAGACAAUGAAAGAGAACAUGCAAAUAUUGACAUAAUUUUUAUUACAGUAUAUUGUCAUAGUUUUUCUAUUUUAUUAUUAGUUGUUAUUCUCUUACUGUGCCUAAUUUAUAAAUUAAACUUUAUCAUAGGAAUAGUGGUGGUGGCCUGUCUGGAGUGGCCACUGCCAGGAUGCCAGCUGCAGCAGGGGAGGUGUAGCUGGGGCUGUGCACUCCGCAGAGCCGGGGGGGCCAGGAACAGGUGAUCCUAGUGGGAGCCCUAUAUGCUACUGAGUUAGUGGGGUGGAAGCCUGUGCUCCCAGGCAUAGCUGCAGCUGCCCAGCCAUGGCUGCAGCCCUAGGCAUACCUGUGCUGUCAGGGGCCCUGGAAGUCCCCUGCCCUUACAGGCUUGGAAGUGCCUGCUCCCAUUCCCUGGCCUCUUUCCACUGCUGGCACCUGCUCUGUGGCAGAGCAAAGUUGUGGAUGUGUUGUGAUAGCUGAGCCUGGGAGCUGUUGUGACGUGGUCAGGUGUGUGUGUUCAGGGCAGUUCUGACAUACCAGACUCCCCACUGCCUUUGCCCCCUCUGGAAACUGCUUCUGAGGCUGAAACUUUGGAUGUUAAUGAGCAAGGAUGGUGGGGGAGGCCAGGAUGGCUGAGGGCAGCUAGGUGUGGGCCUGUGGACACCCCUUAGUGAGGACAGCCUGGGUGCUGUGGAUGGCAUGUUGAUGGCAGCGAGAGGCAGACAUGUUCCUAGGUGGGAAUGGGUGGGUCCCUGGUGAAACCUCACCUUCAAGCCAGGGACAGCUUGAAGCAUGGGGGCCUGGCUGCCAGUUCCAUUUGCAGUCUGUGACCUGGAGUGAAAACUUCAUUGAUGUCUUUCAGCCAAUUGGAUAGUGCUUUUUCCAGACCCACAAAUGGCUGCCCAUGGACCAAGCAGUAUGUACUUCCUCCAUUCUGAGCCCAUGAAAACCCCAGACUCAUUCAGACUCUGACACUCAUCAGGAUGACAAGCCUGCAAAUAGGAGCUACCCACUUUGGGUAUGCACUCCGCUGAGAGCUAUUCUGUCACUCAGUAAAGCUCCUUUCUGCCUUGCUC
rnacentral:lncRNA from 1 species